rnacentral:tRNA from 1 species
GUGGGCGUAGCCGAGCGGAUAAGGCGCCAGGUUGUGGCCCUGGAGAUCGAGGGUUCGAAUCCCUCCGUCCACCCCA